AUAGGAUACCUGAAACGUCUACAUCCACUCUCACCAUUCACAAUGUAGAGAAACAGGACAUAGCUACCUACUACUGUGCCUUGUGGGAGCGAUAUUAUAAGAAACUCUUUGGCAGUGGAACAACACUUGUUGUCACAGAUAAACAACUUGAUGCAGAUGUUUCCCCCAAGCCCACUAUUUUUCUUCCUUCGAUUGCUGAAACAAAAC
rnacentral:lncRNA from 10 species